CAAUAGCGUAUAUUAAAGUUGUUGCAGUUAAAAAGCUCGUAGUUGGAUUUCUGGUGGGAGCGAUCGGUCUGGCGCUUAGCGCGAGUACUUGCAUCGUCUCCGGCCAUCCUUGGGGAGAGUCUGUCUGGCAUUAGGUUGUCGGGCAAAGGAUCCUCAUCGUUUACUGUGAAAAAAUUAGAGUGUUCAAAGCAGGCUUAUGCCGUUGAAUAUAUUAGCAUGGAAUAAUAAGAUAGGACUUUGGUACUAUUUUGUUGGUUUGCGCACCAAAGUAAUGAUUAAUAGGGACAGUUGGGGGUAUUCGUAUUCCGUUGUCAGAGGUGAAAUUCUUGGAUUUACGGAAGACGAACUACUGCGAAAGCAUUUACCAAGGAUGUUUUCAUUAA
rnacentral:rRNA from 1 species